rnacentral:rRNA from 1 species
AACGAACGCUGGCGGCGUGCUUAAUACAUGCAAGUCGAACGUGAAUCCCGAUUUCGGUUGGGAUGAAAGUGGCGAACGGGUGAGUAACACGUAAGUAAUCUGCCUUCAAGUUUGGGAUAACCCUGCCAACGCGGGGCUAAUACCGGAUGUGGUCCAGCUGACACAUGUUGGCUGGAUUAAAGGUCGCGAGGCCGCUUGGAGAUGAGCUUGCGGCCCAUUAGUUAGUUGGUGAGGUAACGGCCCACCAAGACGAAGAUGGGUAGCCGGCCUGAGAGGGUGUACGGCCACAUUGGGACUGAGAUACGGCCCAGACUCCUACGGGAGGCAGCAGUAGGGAAUUUUGCGCAAUGGACGGAAGUCUGACGCAGCAACGCCGCGUGAAGGAUGACGGCCUUCGGGUUGUAAACUUCUGUUGGAUGGGAAAAAAAGCCUAGGAAUAGGAAUUGAUGGUACCAUUCGAGUAAGCACCGGCUAACUACGUG